CUUCUAUGAUUGGAAGGUACCACGUGCCAACCUCCUUCCAACUAACUUACUCAUCCUUCACUUCUCUGACUUGCUGUCAUGUCCUCUGGAAGGCCUUCCCUGACAUCACCCCUCACUGGCUAGGUUACAAGACACUCCUCCGACUUCCCACAGCUUCCUAGGCUUCCUUCUGCCACUGCACAUAUCACUCCUAUCUUCCUUGCUAUUCAAAGAAUGCCUUAACAGUGACCUUAGUCUAUGUAAUUCUAGCACUACAGAUGUUCACUAAAAGUUUGUUAAAUGACUGAAUAAAAAUGUAAAUACAAAAACAGGACAAAAAUUACAUGCUCGUUUCAACAGACACAGAAAAAACAUCUCACAAAUCCAAUACCUUUCCAUGAUAAAAACAGUCAAAGUAGAACUUCCUCAGGCUGACAAAAGGAACAAAAAACCCAGAGCUAACAUCAUACUUAACAGUGAAAGACUAAAAACUUUCCCCCUGAGAUCAGGAACAAGACAAGGAUCCUACUCUCACCAUUUCUAUCCAACAAUGUAGUAAAAUUCUAGCCAGAGCAAAUAGAAGAGAUAAAUGGUAUCCAGACUAGAAAAGAAGUAAAACUAUCUCUAUCUGUAGAUGACUUCAUCUUGUUUAUAGGAAAUCCUAUGGAAUACAUACACAUGCAAACUAUUAGAACCAAUAAAUAAGUUCACCAAAGUUGCAGGAUACAAGAUCAAUAUAUAGAAAUCAGGACUGGGUGUGGUGGCUCAC
rnacentral:lncRNA from 10 species